GAUGAAGAACGUAGCGAAAUGCGAUAAGUAAUGUGAAUUGCAGAAUUCAGUGAAUCAUCGAAUCUUUGAACGCACAUUGCGCCCCUUGGUAUUCCGGGGGGCAUGCCCGUUCGAGCGUCAUUGCUGCCCUCAAGCACGGCUUGUGUGUUGGGCCUCCGUCCUCCUCCCGGGGGACGGGCCCGAAAGGCAGCGGCGGCACCGCGUCCGGUCCUCGAGCGUAUGGGGCUUCGUCACCCGCUCUUGUAGGCCCGGCCGGCGCUUGCCGACACAUCAAUCUUUUUUCCAGGUUGACCUCGGAUCAGGUAGGGAUACCCGCUGAACUUAAGCAUAUCAAUAAGCGGAGGA
rnacentral:misc_RNA from 1 species